rnacentral:rRNA from 1 species
UACGUAGGGUGCAAGCGUUGUCCGGAAUUAUUGGGCGUAAAGAGCUCGUAGGCGGUCUGUCGCGUCGGCUGUGAAAUCCCGAGGCUCAACCUCGGGUCUGCAGUCGAUACGGGCAGGCUAGAGUUCGGUAGGGGAGACUGGAAUUCCUGGUGUAGCGGUGAAAUGCGCAGAUAUCAGGAGGAACACCGGUGGCGAAGGCGGGUCUCUGGGCCGUAACUGACGCUGAGGAGCGAAAGCGUGGGGAGCGAACAGG